GGACCCGACUGCUAUCAAAGUGGGACUAACCCAUGCGAGUCAACAUAGCAAUAUGUGGCAUACGGCUCAUUAACACGUAUUCAACAUGCCCAGGGGACGUGGAUAACCUCGGGAAACUGAGGAUAAACCGCGAUAGGUCAUCACUUCUGGAAUGGGUAAUGACUUAAAUCUAUAUGGCCCCUGGAUUGGACUGCGGCCGAUCAGGCUGUUGGUGAGGUAAUGGCCCACCAAACCUGUAACCGGUACGGGCUCUGAGAGGAGGAGCCCGGAAAUGGGCACUGAAACAAGGGCCCAGGCCCUAUGGGGCGCACCAGGCGCGAAACCUCUGCAAUAGGCAAAAGCUUGACAGGGUUACUCUGGGUGAUUUCCGUUAAGGAGAUCUUUUGGCACCUCUAAAAAUGGUGCAAAAUAAGGGGUGGGCAAGUCUGGUGU
rnacentral:rRNA from 1 species